rnacentral:rRNA from 1 species
GGAUUGUAGUCUGCAACCCGACUACAUGAAGCUGGAAUCGCUAGUAAUCGCAGGUCAGCAUACUGCGGUGAAUACGUUCCCGGGGUCUUGUACACACCGCCCGUCACACCAUGGGAGCCGGAAAUGCCCGAAGCCAGUGACCCAACCUUAGGGAGGGAGCUGUCGAAGGUGGAGCCGGUAACUGGGGUGAAGUCGUAACAAGGUACC